rnacentral:rRNA from 1 species
UACGUAGGAGACGAGCGUUGUCCGGAAUUACUGGGCGUAAAGCGCGUGUAGGCGGAUGAGCAAGUCUGCUGUGAAAGCUCCUGGCUUAACCGGGAGUGGUCGGUGGAAACUGCUCGUCUGGAGGACGGUAGAGGUAGGUAGAAUUCCCGGUGUAGUGGUGAAAUGCGUAGAUAUCGGGAGGAACACCAGUGGCGAAGGCGGCUUCCUGGCCUGUUCUUGACGCUGAGGCGCGAAAGCUAGGGGAGCAAACGGG